AGCAAGACAGUUCUGAAAGACCAGCCUACCCCAGGCCAGCGGAGAGCCCUGGAGAAAGAACCAGAACGGAAGUAAGCCUCGGCAUUUGCUGUGGACAAUGCAUGCACCAGUGACUAGGAGCCCUUGGUGCCUAGAAGGCUACAGUUUUUUCUGUCCUCUGAGCAUGCCGGGACCCUGCUGCUCUUGGCUCUCACCACUUGUGCUGCAUGGAGCAGGUGUCUAAUGAAGUUUGGUAUGCCUAGCCUCUCUCCAUGACCAGCAAAAACCACCACGUCAAAGCAAACACACAAACAACAACAACAACAGGGCUUCUAAAGGAAAGUAGUUAGGAACUUUUUGUAAAAGC